AUAAGAGGUCCCACCUGCCCUGUGACUCUAAGUUUAACGGCCGCGGUAUUCUAACCGUGCGAAGGUAGCGCAAUCAAUUGCCUUUUAAAUGAAGGCCUGUAUGAAUGGUAUAACGAGGGUCUGACUGUCUCUUUUUUCUAGUCAGUUAAACUGAUCUGUCCGUGCAGAAGCGGACAUUAUUAUACAAGACGAGAAGACCCUAUGGAGCUUUAGACACUAGCCAACUGUGAAUGAGCGACUGAACUAUACAAGUCUUAAAUACCCACAGCCUCUGGUAAUGUAGUCUUAGGUUGGGGCGACCACGGGAGAAAAUAAAGCUCCCAAGCAGACCGGGAAAACCCUUAAGCCCAGAGUUGCAACUCUAAGCCGCAAAAAUUUUGACUGAAAUGAUCCGGUUGAAAAACCGAUUAACGAACCAAGUUACCCUAGGGAUAACAGCGCAAUCCUCUCCCAGAGUCCCUAUCGACGAGGGGGUUUACGACCUCGAUGUUGGAUCAGGACAUCCUAAUGGUGCAGCCGCUAUUAAGGGUUCGUUUGUUCAACGAUUAAAGUCCUACGUGAUCUGAGU
rnacentral:rRNA from 1 species